CCUUCCCCUUGGGGGGGCAGCAGUGGGGAAUAUUGCGCAAUGGGGGAAACCCUGACGCAGCGACGCCGCGUGCGGAAAGAAGGCCUUCGGGUCGUAAACCGCUGUCAGGAGGGAAGAAACUGUUAGGGUAUAAUACGCCCUUUCACUGACGGUACCUCCAAAGGAAGCACCGGUUAAUUCCGUGCCAGCAGCCGCGGUAAUACGGAGGGUGCGAGCGUUAAUCGGAAUCACUGGGCGUAAAGCGCACGUAGGCGGCGCAUCAAGUCAGGCGUGAAAGCCCUCGGCUCAACCGGGGAAUUGCGUUUGAAACUGGUGUGCUGGAGUCUCGGAGAGGUUGGCGGAAUUCCAGGUGUAGGAGUGAAAUCCGUAGAUAUGGGGAGGAACACCGGUGGGGAAGGCGGCCACUGGACGAGUACUGACGCUGAGGUGGGAAAGCGUCAAACCAAACAGGAUUAGAUACCGUGGUAGUCCACGCUGUAAACGAUGGAUAUUAGGGUCGGGGGUUACCUUCGGUCCGCAGUAACGCGUUACUAUCCCCCCUGCGUCUUUCCUGA
rnacentral:rRNA from 1 species